ACAAGAGCCAGAGGCUGGAUGCAAUCUGUAAAAUACAAGAGAGGGGGGUGGGGCGAAUCCCCGUGGCCAGCGUAGCUUUCUGAAAUACUAACAUUUGCAGUAGGCACGGAGUAUAGGUUAAUCAAUACGAUGCACUUGCAGCAAUUUCCGCCCCCACCCCUUUUAAUUUGAAUCUUCCCCCCCCCCAAACACAAACAUAAGUUAUAACUUAUUUCUGAGGGCAAUUGUGGCGGGCUGCUGGCUGUAAUUUUUCACGAAUUGAUUGAAGUCUUUUCUCGUCCGGGGUGGGGUGCAUCAAGUUCACCACAACAUGGAAAACUCCACGUGUUCGCCAGAAUUCUGCAAAAUGCAUUCUGGCCAAGUGCGAGAUUACGUCUGAACACAUCUACCCAGUCCCAAAAAGAGAGCCCAUGUCACCGGAAAGGGGAUUGCUGAAGGACAAAGUUUAAAGGAGGAACGAAGAGCAGCGGUUGUUCGGGAUUGCACGGAGAAAUAAGAUGGUUUUUCUUUUUCUUACUUUCAAAAGUGUAACUACACGGAAGACAGCUGGACGGUUGUGGCCCAAGACGGGAAGGAUUCUGCAAAGUCUGAAGGAGCAGGAAAGAACGGGUGGAGAAUCGUGAAAAUAAAUCGGACGUGCUGUGAAUUGCAUUUUGAUUAAAACAAAAGAGAGGCGGUCGAGGCGAAAAUGUGACCAAGGUGAAAUGCGAUUAGAGUCCGGCAAACAAGUGAGAAAAUGGAAGGAAGCCCACAGCUGACGAGGGGGAAUGAAUUGCGGGCAAAGGCUUACACCAGACUACAUAAAAGAUGGAGAACUUCUGUAACUGUCCCGAAAUACGUACAAACCAUUGUUAAAUGCGGAGGUUGCUCAAUGUUAUUUAUUCCGCGUUCACACGGCUUGAAACAAGAAUGGAGAUUGUCUUGACAAUAUAGGUGGACCACGUACACACAGCUGCGGGGAUGUUGUCUUCACUCUGUUUCAUUUGUUUUGUCAUUUGCUGUUAAUUUAUCGUUUUGAUUGAUAAUAUACAUUUUUAUUUUAAAAAUACGCGAAGUCUCUUUAUUAUCUUUAUUUUUGCAAAGUGUAACUUUGGGUGGAACACACUGUUUGAAAAGGCCUAAGAUUAAUGACAAUGCUGACAAUGCAGCGUAACAGAACCAACAUUUUAAUAUCCUUUUCAACAAAUGUCCAGCCUAAACGUAUCCCGGUCCACAAGUCCGCCGGAGCAUUACCAAAAGGUUAAGUUUUCAAAAAAAAACAGGAUGUUAUUGGGGACUUUACGGAAAUCGCACCGAUUCAGAGCAGAUCACCUUUACAUGUCCUAUCUGGAACGACAAAGCUAGAUUUACCAGCAACAUUCAUUUUAGCUUAUUUUUUAUUUUAAAAAAAGAUUUCGUGGGUGCAGAUGUGCUUGGAUUUCUGUUUGCUAGUAGUACAAAUGGUUUAUUUUAUAGAAUAAAAAAAAUUAAAGGAGUGAUGAGCUCCCAUUCUGUGAUUGACAUUUUAUUUAAUUCUGAAAACCACAAAUGGCCCUGGUUUUCUGUCCCUGCCUUCGAACCGUUAGGGAGCCUGUUUACUGUGCAAAGCUGAAAGGCUCCAAAAUUAAAAGAUCAGUUGAAAUUAUUUUUCAUUGCUCAUCAGUCAAAUACUCAAGAUCUGUGUCCCUUUUUUUUGGAAACACAUCAGGAACUUUCAGUUGAACGCCCUGACAGGUUGACAGUGGCAGGUUCACUAGGAAGGGGACGCUUGGUAGCUGACGCGCUGACCAUUCGGAAGGUGCUGUAUGCAGUGCCCGCUGCUGCAGAGUCUCUGCGGUGGGGGAAAAUCAAUUUGUGUGCGACUCCCAGGAAGGGACGGUAGCCCCCUGAUUUCCGCCUCCAAGCCCUCCGUGCCAGGAGCUGCUGUCCCGCGGUGUUAGGAAAGCUCUUUUCCUUCCCCCUUGAACCCGCGCUGGGCAGUGAGCUGCUCUCUGUCGAACCGAAAGUCGGCCGCAACCGCUCCAUGCUCCGUUCGCCUUUCGGGGGAAGGGGGACAGCGCAGGGAGGGAGAGGAAAAUCCCAUCUUCGCCCUGAAAAAUUUCUAAAAGCCACUUGCUGCUCUGAUCCCGCUGAAACGUGAAAUCAGUCUGCCGCUUUGCGGACAUUUAUGACGGGCAAUUAAAGCCGUAUCGUUCUCGUCUGCAAUUGUGAACCGUCUGAAAGUAGGCCUCUGUUUAAAACUUAGCUCACCGCGUCUAACACUAUUUACCUUCAAUUCACUUCGAACAAUCUUUAUAUACCUGCGAUGAAGCAAUCUUUAGCGAGAUGUUUGUCUAUGAAAAUGAUUUUCAAUUAAAUUAAAAAUAAAAUUCUUUUAAAAAAAUA